rnacentral:rRNA from 1 species
AUUGAACGCUGGCGGCAGGCCUAACACAUGCAAGUCGAACGGUAGCACAGAGAGCUUGCUCUCGGGUGACGAGUGGCGGACGGGUGAGUAACGUCUGGGAAACUGCCCGAUGGAGGGGGAUAACUACUGGAAACGGUAGCUAAUACCGCAUAACGUCGCAAGACCAAAGUGGGGGACCUUCGGGCCUCACACCAUCGGAUGUGCCCAGAUGGGAUUAGCUAGUAGGUGGGGUAAUGGCUCACCUAGGCGACGAUCCCUAGCUGGUCUGAGAGGAUGACCGGCCACACUGGAACUGGGACACGAUCCAGACUCCUACGGGAGGCAGCAGUGGGGAAUAUUGCACAAUGGGCGCAAGCCUGAUGCAGCCAUGCCGCGUGUAUGAAGAAGGCCUUCGGGUUGUAAAGUACUUUCAGCGGGGAGGAAGGCGGUGAAGUUAAUAGCUUCACCGAUUGACGUUACCCGCAGAAGAAGCACCGGCUAACUCCGUGCCAGCAGCCGCCGCGG